rnacentral:rRNA from 1 species
AUAAUCCUGUAGUCGAAAAUGUUGUCUCUCUUGAGUGGAUCCUGAGUACGACGGAACACGUGAAAUUCCGUCGGAAUCUGGGAGGACCAUCUCCUAAGGCUAAAUACUCUCUAGUGACCGAUAGUGAACCAGUACCGUGAGGGAAAGGUGAAAAGCACCCCGGAAGGGGAGUGAAAUAGAACCUGAAACCGUGUGCUUACAAGUAGUCAGAGCCCGUUAAUGGGUGAUGGCGUGCCUUUUGUAGAAUGAACCGGCGAGUUACGAUUUGAUGCAAGGUUAAGCAGUAAAUGUGGAGCCGUAGCGAAAGCGAGUCUGAAUAGGGCGUUUAGUAUUUGGUCGUAGACCCGAAACCAGGUGAUCUACCCUUGGUCAGGUUGAAGUUCAGGUAACACUGAAUGGAGGACCGAACCGACUUACGUUGAAAAGUGAGCGGAUGAACUGAGGGUAGCGGAGAAAUUCCAAUCGAACCUGGAGAUAGCUGGUUCUCUCCGAAAUAGCUUUAGGGCUAGCCUCAAGUGAUGAUUAUUGGAGGUAGAGCACUGUUUGGACGAGGGGCCCCUCUCGGGUUACCGAAUUCAGACAAACUCCGAAUGCCAAUUAAUUUAACUUGGGAGUCAGAACAUGGGUGAUAAGGUCCGUGUUCGAAAGGGAAACAGCCCAGACCACCAGCUAAGGUCCCAAAAUAUAUGUUAAGUGGAAAAGGAUGUGGCGUUGCCCAGACAACUAGGAUGUUGGCUUAGAAGCAGCCAUCAUUUAAAGAGUGCGUAAUAGCUCACUAGUCGAGUGACACUGCGCCGAAAAUGUACCGGGGCUAAACAUAUUACCGAAGCUGUGGAUUGUCCUUUGGACAAUGGUAGGAGAGCGUUCUAAGGGCGUUGAAGCAUGAUCGUAAGGACAUGUGGAGCGCUUAGAAGUGAGAAUGCCGGUGUGAGUAGCGAAAGACGGGUGAGAAUCCCGUCCACCGAUUGACUAAGGUUUCCAGAGGAAGGCUCGUCCGCUCUGGGUUAGUCGGGUCCUAAGCUGAGGCCGACAGGCGUAGGCGAUGGAUAACAGGUUGAUAUUCCUGUACCACCUAUAAUCGUUUUAAUCGAUGGGGGGACGCAGUAGGAUAGGCGAAGCGUGCGAUUGGAUUGCACGUCUAAGCAGUAAGGCUGAGUAUUAGGCAAAUCCGGUACUCGUUAAGGCUGAGCUGUGAUGGGGAGAAGACAUUGAGUCUUCGAGUCGUUGAUUUCACACUGCCGAGAAAAGCCUCUAGAUAGAAAAUAGGUGCCCGUACCGCAAACCGACACAGGUAGUCAAGAUGAGAAUUCUAAGGUGAGCGAGCGAACUCUCGUUAAGGAACUCGGCAAAAUGACCCCGUAACUUCGGGAGAAGGGGUGCUCUUUAGGGUUAACGCCCAGAAGAGCCGCAGUGAAUAGGCCCAAGCGACUGUUUAUCAAAAACACAGGUCUCUGCUAAACCGUAAGGUGAUGUAUAGGGGCUGACGCCUGCCCGGUGCUGGAAGGUUAAGAGGAGUGGUUAGCUUCUGCGAAGCUACGAAUCGAAGCCCCAGUAAACGGCGGCCGUAACUAUAACGGUCCUAAGGUAGCGAAAUUCCUUGUCGGGUAAGUUCCGACCCGCACGAAAGGCGUAACGAUUUGGGCACUGUCUCAACGAGAGACUCGGUGAAAUCAUAGUACCUGUGAAGAUGCAGGUUACCCGCGACAGGACGGAAAGACCCCGUGGAGCUUUACUGUAGCCUGAUAUUGAAAUUCGGCACAGCUUGUACAGGAUAGGUAGGAGCCUUUGAAACGUGAGCGCUAGCUUACGUGGAGGCGCUGGUGGGAUACUACCCUAGCUGUGUUGGCUUUCUAACCCGCACCACUUAUCGUGGUGGGAGACAGUGUCAGGCGGGCAGUUUGACUGGGGCGGUCGCCUCCUAAAAGGUAACGGAGGCGCUCAAAGGUUCCCUCAGAAUGGUUGGAAAUCAUUCAUAGAGUGUAAAGGCAUAAGGGAGCUUGACUGCGAGACCUACAAGUCGAGCAGGGUCGAAAGACGGACUUAGUGAUCCGGUGGUUCCGCAUGGAAGGGCCAUCGCUCAACGGAUAAAAGCUACCCCGGGGAUAACAGGCUUAUCUCCCCCAAGAGUUCACAUCGACGGGGAGGUUUGGCACCUCGAUGUCGGCUCAUCGCAUCCUGGGGCUGUAGUCGGUCCCAAGGGUUGGGCUGUUCGCCCAUUAAAGCGGUACGCGAGCUGGGUUCAGAACGUCGUGAGACAGUUCGGUCCCUAUCCGUCGUGGGCGUAGGAAAUUUGAGAGGAGCUGUCCUUAGUACGAGAGGACCGGGAUGGACAUACCUCUGGUGUACCAGUUGUCGUGCCAACGGCAUAGCUGGGUAGCUAUGUGUGGACGGGAUAAGUGCUGAAAGCAUCUAAGCAUGAAGCCCCCCUCAAGAUGAGAUUUCCCAACUUCGGUUAUAAGAUCCCUCAAAGAUGAUGAGGUUAAUAGGUUCGAGGUGGAAGCAUGGUGACAUGUGGAGCUGACGAAUACUAAUCGAUCGAAGACUUAAUCAA